rnacentral:rRNA from 1 species
CCUACGGGAGGCAGCAGUGAGGAAUAUUGGUCAAUGGGCGCGAGCCUGAACCAGCCAAGUCGCGUGAGGGAUGAAGGUUCUAUGGAUCGUAAACCUCUUUUAUAAGGGAAUAAAGUGUGGGACGUGUCCUAUUUUGUAAGUACCUUAUGAAUAAGGAUCGGCUAACUCCGUGCCAGCAGCCGCGGUAAUACGGAGGAUCCGAGCGUUAUCCGGAUUUAUUGGGUUUAAAGGGUGCGUAGGCGGCCUUUUGAGUCAGCGGUGAAAGUCUGUGGCUGAACCAUAGAAUUGCCGUUGAAACUGGGGGGCUUGAGUAUGUUUGAGGCAGGCGGAAUGCGUGGUGUAGCGGUGAAAUGCUUAGAUAUCACGCAUAACCCCGAUUGCGAAGGCAGCCUGCCAGGCCAUGACUGACGCUGAUGCACGAAAGCGUGGGGAUCGAACAGGAUUAGAUACCCCAGUAGUC